UUUGGCGAUAAUAAUGCAAUAGUACCACCUGAUCCCAUGCCGAACUCAGAAGUAAUGCCGAUGGUAGUGUGGGGAUUCCCCAUGUGAGAGUAGGUCAUCGCCAAUU
rnacentral:rRNA from 1 species